AAUCUAUGCUCGCGACUGGUUGUCGCAAAGUAUGACGUGUACAGCUAGUUGCAAGCGUGCACGAGUUCUCAGAGCUAGGGAAAAAAAGAGCCACUGGCUGUGUCUACUACCGCGCACUUGUGCACUUCGAGCACUGACUUUCAGUGCUUAGGGCGCUUACACUGACAGAACCAGAAGAAUUCAGUGCACUGAAAGUACCCGGAUGACGCACUGCAAACGGUCAAAAAAUGCAGUGUACAACGAUGGACACUACUCGCCCUAAACGGGUGCCAUAUUGGCUACGUAGCGGAAGAGGAGGAGCCCUUUCGGCAGCUUUUCAUUUCAUUUCUAAAAUAAUGGCGGACGAAAUGACUCGCGAGCAGAUUCGCCUUAGAUUCGCGGGUGUCACAAUCAGAUUUGCGUCCGUCACUUCCCGCCAAGUGGGUAACUUAAGUGUUCCAUUUGAGACAGCACUACUCAGCGACGGAGUGCACUACAGAUGUAAGUGCACUGUAUUGCAGUGUACUUAGUAAAGUUCGCGGUAGUAGACACAGCC